rnacentral:rRNA from 1 species
GGUAGAGGAGCGUUCUGUAAGCCUGUGAAGGUGAGUUGAGAAGCUUGCUGGAGGUAUCAGAAGUGCGAAUGCUGACAUGAGUAACGACAAUGGGUGUGAAAAACACCCACGCCGAAAGACCAAGGGUUCCUGCGCAACGUUAAUCGACGCAGGGUUAGUCGGUUCCUAAGGCGAGGCUGAAAAGCGUAGUCGAUGGGAAACAGGUUAAUAUUCCUGUACUUCUGGUUACUGCGAUGGAGGGACGGAGAAGGCUAGGCCAGCUUGGCGUUGGUUGUCCAAGUUUAAGGUGGUAGGCUGAAAUCUUAGGUAAAUCCGGGGUUUCAAGGCCGAGAGCUGAUGACGAGUCGUCUUUUAGAUGACGAAGUGGUUGAUGCCAUGCUUCCAAGAAAAGCUUCUAAGCUUCAGGUAACCAGGAACCGUACCCCAAACCGACACAGGUGGUCGGGUAGAGAAUACCAAGGCGCUUGAGAGAACUCGGGUGAAGGAACUAGGCAAAAUGGCACCGUAACUUCGGGAGAAGGUGCGCCGGCUAGGGUGAAGGAUUUACUCCGUAAGCUCUGGCUGGUCGAAGAUACCAGGCCGCUGCGACUGUUUAUUAAAAACACAGCACUCUGCAAACACGAAAGUGGACGUAUAGGGUGUGACGCCUGCCCGGUGCCGGAAGGUUAAUUGAUGGGGUUAGCGCAAGCGAAGCUCUUGAUCGAAGCCCCGGUAAACGGCGGCCGUAACUAUAACGGUCCUAAGGUAGCGAAAUUCCUUGUCGGGUAAGUUCCGACCUGCACGAAUGGCGUAACGAUGGCGGCGCUGUCUCCACCCGAGACUCAGUGAAAUUGAAAUCGCUGUGAAGAUGCAGUGUAUCCGCGGCUAGACGGAAAGACCCCGUGAACCUUUACUGUAGCUUUGCACUGGACUUUGAGCCUGCUUGUGUAGGAUAGGUGGGAGGCUUUGAAGCGUGGACGCCAGUUCGCGUGGAGCCAUCCUUGAAAUACCACCCUGGCAUGCUUGAGGUUCUAACUCUGGUCCGUGAUCCGGAUCGAGGACAGUGUAUGGUGGGCAGUUUGACUGGGGCGGUCUCCUCCUAAAGAGUAACGGAGGAGUACGAAGG